UGGGGUAAGUAUGGACAAAACAUUCAAGCUGGAUGCAGCUCUAAAUUUGGAUUGUGAUUAAAUAGAUGACACAGCAUAGGUUUCUGACACAGAAUGAAUGUGGUCUAAUGAACUUAAAAUACUUUUUUUUCCUUUGAGCAAUUCACUAUGCUGUUGAAUAUUAAUCCUCUCAAAAAAAUGUUUGAAGAAAUUUUCUUUUUAUUUAUGAAAUCUGAAAUGAGAAAAAUUAACCCCCCCCCCCCCCCCCCCCCCAAUUUUUUUUUCAGAUCCCCCUUUCCCUUUUCCAAAACUGAUCUCAAUUCAAAUUUCUAAUGGAGUUUGCAACAAUAACUACUCAUUUAAAUACAUCAUGAAAUAUUAAAAUUUAACAAAAGGUGC
rnacentral:lncRNA from 1 species